rnacentral:misc_RNA from 1 species
UUUCCGUAGGUGAACCUGCGGAAGGAUCAUUGUCGAGACCCUCAUAGAUCAGAGUGACGGGAGAACUUGUCACCUAGCGCCUGCAAGGGACCGCAUUGUUUUAACAAGUCUGCCUGUUGUCGUUCAUCCAAGGACGCAACGGAAAGAUGACAUUCCCUGGGCCAUGUUCAGCGCCAAGGAAAGAUUUUGAAUAAGUAGGGAGAGAUGUUUUUACCCCAUGCUUUACUCGUAUGCAUUGUAGCAGGGGGAAGAGCUGCUUCUCCAAUUCAUAGAGUUUACAUGACUCUCGACAACGGAUAUCUUGGCUCUU